rnacentral:tRNA from 1 species
UCCCUGGUGGCUCAGAGGUUAAAGCAUCUGCCUACAAUGCAGGAGACCCAGAUUCGAUCCUUGGGUCGGGAA